rnacentral:rRNA from 1 species
GAUGAACGCUGGCGGCGUGCCUAAUACAUGCAAGUCGAGCGAACGGACGAGAAGCUUGCUUCUCUGAUGUUAGCGGCGGACGGGUGAGUAACACGUGGAUAACCUACCUAUAAGACUGGGAUAACUUCGGGAAACCGUAGCUAAUACCGGAUAAUAUUUUGAACCGCAUGGUUCAAAAGUGACAGACGGUCUUGCUGUCACUUAUAGAUGGAUCCGCGCUGCAUUAGCUAGUUGGUAAGGUAACGGCUUACCAAGGCAACGAUGCAUAGCCGACCUGAGAGCGUGAUCGACCACACUGGGACUGCAGCACGGUCCAGAGACCAACGGGAAGCAGCAGACGCGAAUCUACAGGAAUGGGCGAAAGCUUGACGAAGCAACGACGCAUGAGUGAUGACGCUCUUCGGAUCGUAAAACUCUGUUAUUAGAGCAGAACACAUGUGUAAGUAACUGUGCACAUCUUGACGGUACCGAAACAGAAAGCCACGUCUAACUACGUG